AGAGAAGGGCUGCUUUCUGCCUCAGGGAUUACUUUAAAACACACACACGCACAAACGGCGUUUGCGUUAUCCCUUUUCCUCUUCGCUUUAAGGUUCUGGCAGCUGAACCGAAUUGGCUUCUCCUGGGCUCUCGCCCAUCCCGACUUCUCACAAGCUUCGCUUCCUUUCCUUCCGCACAUUAUCGCUUUCCCCCGACCGCUAAAGUUUUGUCUUCCUCACACGCACAACCUGUAGGACUCUUUCUCCUCACGACUCCCACCAGCCUCCGUUAUUCACUCGGGACCGUCAGGAGCGCCCUCAGGGCAGGACCUCGGGGGAGAGAGGGCAGCUGAACAAGCCACGAGGGCCUCAAACGCAGCAUCCCUUCAGAAUUAGGUGAAGUCAAAUACAGUACCUGUGUCUAAAAGGGGUCAGGGGAUUAGACCAUGAAGGCCAGCAUCUCAAACAGGGCUGAGGGAUGUUUGCAGGAGAGAUUCUCUUGCUGGGUGGGGAGCCACAGUAGUAGCCUCCCUGCUGGGGUGUGGUUUAUUUGUUUAAUUUUAAAGCGUCUAUAUGUCAUGUAAUAUUUCAAAAAUCACUUCAGUAACCAUAGAAUUGUAGUAGUAAUAAUAAUAAAUAAUUUAUUAUUUAUUCCCCAGCCACUCUGGGCGGCUCCCAAACAGAAUAUUCAUAAUUAAAACGCGAUAAAACAUCAAACAUUAAAAACUUUCCUAAACAGGGCUGCCUUCAGACGUCUUCUAAAAGUCAGAUAGUUGUUUAUUUCCUUGUCAUCUGAUGGGAGGGCGUUCCAAAGGCGGACGCCACUACCGAGAAGGUCCUCUGCCUGGUUCCCUGUAGCUUCACUUCAUUGCUGCAAUGAGCAGACUAAAAAUCCCCAGUAUGUUAUCAAAACAAAAACACAACCUAAGGACUGUAAAGCAACAGCUUACCAUGCACAUAGCUGGCAAAACCAAUUUUAAAAAUCCAAAGAAUAUGUAAUACCAUUUAUAGAACCUUAGACAGAAUGAAGCACCUCACUUCAGGAAACACAUUUUUUUUCUGGAUACAGUGAAAAGGCAAGGCAAAUAUAGAAUCAGUUUGUUUUUAUUGCUAUGAGGGGCACCAGUUGAAAUAUCUGCCUCCAGCAUUAUGAAUGCCUUAGACUGCCUCCUCAAAGUUUCAGGCAUCUUCUCUGCUCAUCUACCAUUACAUUCAUUGCAGUCAUCAGAGAAUCCAACCCUCUAGUUCAACAUCCUGUUCUUAGAGUGGCAAAACAGAUUCCUCUGGGUAGCCCACAAGCAGGACCUGAGCACAAAAGCACCCUCCCUUUCCACAGUUUCCAACAACUGGUAUUCAGAAGCAUACAGCCUCCGAUAGCCAUCAUGGCUAGUAACCACUGAUAGACUUUACCUCAUAAUUUGUCUAAUCCUCUUUUAAAGCCAUCCAAGGUAGUAACCAACACUGCUUCCUGUGGGAGCAAAUUCCACAGUUUAACUACGCACUGUGUGAAUAAGCAUUUUCUUUUAUCUGUCCUGAAUCCUCCAACAUUCAGUUUCAUUAUAUGUUCACAAGUUCUAGUGUUAUGAGAGAGGAAGAAAAACUUUUCUGUAUCCACUUUCUCCAUGUCAUGCAUAAUUGCAUACAUUUCUACCAUGCCCCCUCUUACAUCUUUAUAAUCUUUAUACAUAACAUCUUUAUGCGCCCCCUUGCCCAGAUUAUCCGGAGCUUUGGGCUGGGCUGUCACCAAUAUGCUGAUGAUACUCAGCUCUAUCUGCUGAUGGAUGGCCACACCGACUCGGCCCCGAACACACUGACCAGAUGCUUGGAAGCUGUGGCUGGAUGGUUUCGUGGGAGCCGAUUGAAACUAAAUCCUUCGAAGACAGAGGUCCUAUGGCUAGGUCGGGAUGGCAUGGGGAUGAGGGACCAACUCCCUUCUCUUGCGGGGGCCCAAUUAGUGCCAUUGCCUUCCAUUAAGAGUUUGGGUGUAAUCCUUGACGCCUCCCUUUCCAUGGAGGCGCAAGUUACAGCAACAGCCAAGGCGACAUUUUUCCAUCUUCGCCGCAUCAAGCAGUUGGUCCCUUACCUUUCCCGCCCCGACCUGGCCACAGUGAUCCAUGCGACGGUCAUCUCCAGGCUUGACUACUGUAAUUCGCUCUACACGGGGCUGCCCUUGAAGCUGUCCCAGAAACUCCAGCGGGUACAGAAUGCUGCAGCGAGGCUCCUCACGGGGUCUCUGCCAUGGGAGCAUAUUCACCCAGUGCUUUUCAAGCUGCACUGGCUCCCGGUGCAGUACAGGGUCAGAUUUAAGGUGCUGCUUUUGACCUUUAAAGCCCUUCACAGCCUAGGACCCUCGUACCUACGGGACCGCCUCUCCUGGUAUGCCCCACGGAGAGCCUCAAGGUCCAUAAAUAACAACACCCUAGUGGUCCCAGGCCCUAAGGAAGUUAGAUUGGCUUCAACCAGAGCCAGGGCCUUUUCAACACUGGCUCCGGCCUGGUGGAACGCUCUGCCUCAUGAGACCAGGGCCCUGCAGGAUCUGAUUUCUUUCCGCAGGGCCUGUAAGACAGAGUUGUUCCGCCUGGCCUUUGGCUUGGAGCCAAUUUGACUCCCUCCCUCCCUCCCUCUCUUUUUUCUUUUCCUUCUCCUCCUGCGAUGAGGCUACAUUUUAAUAUUUUAAUGUUGUAUUUUAUUUUUGUUUUUAAGUUGUAAUCAUUCAUCUUGUUUUUAUUAUUGCUUGUAAGCCGCUCUGAGCCCGGCCUUGGCUGGGGAGGGCGGGGUAUAAAUAAAAAUUAUUAUUAUUAUUAUUAUUAUUACCCAUCAUUCCUAAGCUAAAUGCCCCAACUCCUCAUAGGGGAGUUGUUCCACCCCUAUGAUCAUUCUGGUUGCCCUUUUUUGAACCUUUUCCAACUCCAUACUAUCCUCACUGAGGUAAGGCGACCUGAAGUGAUUCCCCUUCAAAUCACUUGUAUUUGUUUCCCAGUAAACCAUGUUCAGGAUCAGAAUGUUCCUGUUUCUCCACAUCUAUAAAACGUAGAAGCACCAUACUGGAGCACCAAAGGGUUUAGCAAGCAUUUUAAUUUUGCACUGCUGUCAUGGGUGCUUGCAUUGUUGCAGCUAGCAGGACCCCAGGCUUUGAGUAUCUGAGGGGGUGAUAUGUUGGUUAGAGGAGAGAAUAGUCGAGGGAGGCUCCUAUCGUGCAUGCAUUGUGAAAGCUAACAGUGCCUGAAUAAUGUGGUCAAAGCUCUCUUUCCUUGGUUGCUUUCUUCUUUUUUUGUUCUUUGCAGCCAGGCCUGUUAACAGAGGCUUUUGUUUAGUACUUUUCAGGCUCCUUUACAAAGAAAGGAAGUCAGACAUCUUGUGAGUAAGAUUUGGGCAGGUGUGGGAAUCAACAGCCAGUUGAACUUUAAUAGUUUAGAACAUUUAAAUAAAUAUAUCAAAGAAUAAUAUUAAUAGUAAUGGUGAUUUAAGUUCUCUUAAAAUCAAAUGAUAACCCACAAACGGCCACAAAUGGAUAAAUGUUGUGGAUGGCAGUAUGCACAGCCCAUCAGUUAAUCACUGUAAACCUUAGUAAAAGGGCAAAGGACUGGGGAUUUGUGAGAGAGAAGGCAGGUGGGAAGGGUAUAGAGAUGGAGAUAGAUAGGUAGCAGAAUGACUACAAUAAAAGGUAUUAAGGCCUCUGUCAUGCCUGAUUAAAAGUAAGCAGCUUGGCAGAUUUGUUGGCUAUCGAAGCCUGAAGUCUAUACUUAUUUGUGCCCCAGUUCUUUAUAUGCUUACUAAUGCAUACGCCUCUGACUUAAGCAGAGCUUGGUUACUUUAUCUUGCAUUCAUAUAUAUGUAUAUAUAUUCUGCAUAUAUACAGGUUUAUAAAUUAACAAUAACAACCAAAAAUAUUUUUUCUGGAUCAUCAGAACAGUUACAGAGUUACCUGGUGUUAAAAUAGAGUAAAUUGCCGUAUUUACUCAAAUCUAAUGCACCAUCAAAUGUAAUGAGUACCCUAAUUUUCGUGAUGUAUGGUAAUUUGGCCAAAAAAUGUGCACAUUACAUUUGAGUAAAUAUGUUAUUUACAGCUCCCAUCAGAAUCAGUGUAUCACAAUGAUUAUUAAGGGAACAUUGAUGUGGAUAAGGUGAGAUUAGUGCUGAAUCAGCUUGUGAAAAAAAUACUUUUCCUUCUAGACUCUUCAAAAAUGUCUACAUGCCUUGAAUGAGAUGAUUGAAUUGGGGGGGGGGGGUGAUAUAAAAUACAUAAUAUCAAAUGAUAUGUAACUGAUGUGUUACUUCCAGUAUCAUUACUAAGGUAGACACUGUGGUAUUAUUCUAGUUUGCUGUGUGCAUUUCAUUUUCAUAUUGGAUGAGUUGUAUGUGAGACAUUCCAGGUCAAUAUUUUUCUCUAGGUGUGUUAAUUUUUAAAAAAGAAGAAUCAAUACAAAGGUCCCAAGAAAAAAUCAAUAGAAUCUGUCAACAAUGACAGGGUGAACACAUGAAACAUCACAAUGCUUAAAAUGUUCACUUUGUUUAGCACAGUGCUCAGUUAUUUGUCCCUUGACAGAGUAAGGCAGCUGCCCAAGCAUAUAGUUGUCAGCCAUGUCUUUUGCAGGAAGAAAACAGAGAAAUAAAAUAUAUUUUAAAUAUGGCAUGUACUUGCUUGACAUUGUGGCAAUUCUAUUUUUCCCCAGUAUGCAGAAAGUAACUGGUCAAAAUAAUUUUAUAGUCACAAUUGAAAUAUAUGUUUUAUUUAAUCUUUUUAGAUAGUAAGAGAUCACUAUGUAGUUGGCAGUAUCUUGCCUAACCUAGCUUAACGAAAUAAAUGUUUUCCAAUUAUGCUAUUCCAUAGCACAGGGGUGUCAAACUCAAAUUCAUUGGGGGCCACAUCAGCAGUUUGGUCACCCUCAAAGGGCCGGUUGUAUCUAUAGGACUCAAUAUAUGCUCAAUAUAAAAACAAGUGGAGGUUUCCUGAAUGCAUGUAAAGUGGAGGUUUCCUGUGUAGAACGGCCGGCGCCGCUAGAGGGCAGACGUUCUCUGGCUUGUAGGCUGCCGCGCAUGCGCUGAAGAGGCGGCUUUCUUGUGUCAAAAAAAAAAAAAAGCGAGAAUAAAAGGUGAAGGCUGGCGGCCGGCGGCGGCUACACGGGCCACAUGACGAGGUCUGGCGGGCCGGAUUCAGCUCGCGGGCCUUGUGUUUGACACCCGUGCCAUAGCAUCAUAGAACAUUUUCAUCUACCUUUUUUAUUUUUCUUAAAAAACAACAACCCCUAAGGAAUAAUUUAUAUUCUGGUCAAUAAUAUGCCAUGCAAUGUGGCUAGUAAGAAAGUGGUUUCUGGAAAGAGCACAAAUAAUGUUUCAGACUGCUGUGUGAAGCUGAGUAUCUGGAGCCAGUUCAGUCUGGCUUCUGGCAAGAGGAUGUGACACCUAUUGUCUUGGUCAUCCUGGUGGCUCGCCUAGAUUGGGAGAAAGGGAAGGGAAGUGUGAUAAUGUUUCAGCAACUUUCAAUACCUUCAGCUAUGGCAUUGGUGGGUUGGGACCCAAUACAAGGUCAUGGCUUGAUCUGAGGUAGCUGCACUACCAUCAUACAAAUAGGUGGCAAAAAUUAAGCAAUGGGUGUCCCAGUGCAUGCUUGGCAUAAUGGUGGGUUCUGAAACGGUUGAAGACUACUGAGCUGUGAUAUACCUUUCACGGGCUAGAGUUGAAAGCAUCACUUUUUGAUAGUUCAAGGGUAGGUUUCAGAAGGUGGUGCUGACAGUAUCAUAGAAAUGUAUAGUUGGAAGGGACCAAUAGUGUCAUCUAGUCCAACUCCCUGCAAUUCAGUGCUGGAAUUUUUCACCCAACGUGGGGCUCGAACUCAUGACCCUGAGAUUAAGAGUCUCAUGCUCUACAACUGAGCUAUCCAUAGGUUAUAACCAACUAAUUUAUAAUCAGAAUUUGGGGGUGGGGCGGGGGGUAUGAGCCCUGAGAAUAUGUACUAAUAGAAAAUGUGAAGUUAAUUUACCCAAAGAGCUAACUGAUUUGGUAUGACCUUGGUAUUUGUAUGAUGCUCUCCUUAAAGCAGGGGUAAAUCGAAAAAUAUGCUGCUCUACUAUUUCGAACACUUGUGAGCACAGUGUCACACAGCACUACAUUGCAGUAGCAUUGCAUGGUCAUUCAGAGCUAAUGCAUUCCCUAGAAUCAAGAUAGGCAUUCCCCAGACUGCACCGCUUUAGGCUGCAGAUAAAGAUCACAGGCCUUUGCACACAUCAGAGAGGAGACAACAGUUAUUUAUAUAUUACAAUUAUUUAUAUUCUGCCUUUCAGAAUACAAAAUCCCUCCCAAGUAGCUUAUAAGUAGCAUCAAUGUACAUUCAGAGAGAGAGAGAGCAAGUCAUAAUACUUCCCACAGAUCAGCUGGUGGUAGAUGGCUGGGGUGGGGUGAAAGACAGCUGGAACAGGAGCAGGGUCCCAAUAUCUUAUUCAGGAUUAAUUUGACUUGUUUUGGUUUUACAUGCAGGCAGUUUGGGAAAGCAGAAUCAUUCAAAAUGGAACCAGCAGCAGGAUAUUCCAGUAAAGGUCAUUCUGCCAGAUACCUAUAUGAACUGGCCAUGUGUUGAUACAAAUAUUAGGAUAAUAAUAAUAAUAAUAAAUUUUAUUUAUAUCCCGCCCUCCCUAGCCGAAGCCGGGCUCAGGGCGGCUAACAACAAUAAAACAAUGCAAAAGUACAGGAUAAACAACACUCUAAAAUCAUUCAUUAUAAAAUUAAUUAAUUCAAGCCACUGGCAACCAUUGGGCCAGAGCUCCACGAAGAUUGCCGAGGGAGGGAGUCAGGCUGUGCCCUGGCCAAAGGCCUGGUGGAACAGCUCUGUCUUGCAGGCCCUGCGGAAAGAUGUCAAGUCCCACAGGGCCCUGGUCUCUUGUGACAGAGUGUUCCACCAGAUCGGAGCCACAGCCGAAAAGCCCUGGCUCUAGUUGAGGCCAGCCUAACUUCUCUGUGGCCUGGGACCUUCAAGAUGUUUUUAUUUGAAGACCGUAAGUUUCUCUGUGGGGCAUACCAGGAGAGGCGGUCCCGUAGGUACGAGGGUCCUAGGCCGUGAAGGGCUUUAAAGGUUAAAACCAGCACCUUAAACCUGAUCCUGUACUCCACCGGGAGCCAGUGCAGCUGGUAUAGCACCGGGUGUAUGCGAUCUCGCAGCGAAGACCUCGUAAGGAGUCUCGCUGCAGCAUUCUGCACCCGCUGGAGUUUCUGGGUCAGUCUCAAGGGCAGCCCCACGUAGAGCGAGUUACAAUAAUCCAGUCUGGAGGUGACCGUCGCGUGGAUCACAGUGGCUAGGUCAGGGCGAGAGAGGUAAGGAGCCAACUGCUUAGCUUGGCGGAGAUGGAAAAAUGCCGCCUUUGUUAUAGCUGCAAUCUGCGCCUCCAUGGAAAGGGAGGUGUCGAAGAUUACACCCAAACUCUUAACGGACGGUGCUGGCACUAAUUGCGCCCCGCAAGAGAUGGGAGUUGCCCCCAAUCCCAUAUCGCCCCGUCCCAGCCACAGGACCUCUGUCUUCGAAGGAUUUAGCUUCAACCGGCUCCCACGUAACCAUCCAGCCACAGCUUCCAAACAUCUGGUCAGUGUGUCUGGGGCCGAGUCAGGAUGGCCAUCCAUCAACAGAUAGAGUUGGGUGUCAUCAGCAUACUGAUGGCAACCCAGCCCGAAACUCCGAACAAGCUGGGUGAGGGGGCGCAUAAAGAUGUUGAAAAGCAUCGGGGAGAGUAUCGCACCCUGAGGUACUCCACACACCAAGGAGUGGCGCGAUGACAAUUCCCCCCCAAGCGCCACCCUCUGUCCCCGACCAGAGAGAAACGAGCGCAGCCAUUGAAGGACUGCGCCCUGGAUCCCCACGUCGGCAAGGCGGUGGUCCAGAAGUUCGUGAUCGACAAUGUUGAAAGCUGCUGACAGAUCUAGAAGAAUCAGCAGCCCCGACCAACCUCGAUCCAGCUUUCUACGAAGAUCAUCUGUUAGGGCAACCAGAGCCGUCUCGGUCCCAUGACCAGCGCGGAAGCCGGACUGGAAUGGAUCCAGAGCUGAUGUUACAAAAAUAAGUUCCCUUUAUUAAAAUACAUAUCCUUAGGUUCAUAUAUUCAAUACUCAGGGGCAAUCAUGUCUGCAUGAAGAUGAAUAAUUAUUUUUGUAACAUUUCAGUAUACAAAAAACAUACAUUUAUUUAAGGUCAAACUCUUCAAUCACCUAAGGGAAAUGCUGUAAUAGUUCCAGUGAUGCAUAUUCUCUGGCCUUAGCAGAGCUUGUCCAAGGCAUGGAGUAGGAGUCUUGUUCUUGGCAUGACUGUGUAAGUCCAGUAGGCCCCUGGCCAGCUUAACUCUCUGAGGCCCGCAGCAAGUGUACCCGGCUGCUCCCUUCUGCACGGGCCUGCAUAUUAUUCAUUUUUUUCUGUUCAGCAAUUUGAAAGGCAAUAUCUAAGAUGAAGCAAAUCAAUAUACAAUGCAAUUCAAACCAAUUACUCAGAUAUGACUAUAUCUAUUCAAGUUAUGUCACAUAUGCAGCCAGACAUGAAUCCAGAGCGUGCAAGAAUUCUAAUGAAAAUGUGAACAUAAUUUGUGCUGAUGGUCUACGUAACAACCUGUCAUGUUUGUUUUUUCUAGAGCGCUUCAGAAACACAACACAGUCAAAGAAAGUUGUGACCUGCUGGCACAUAUAGACAAACCUCUCUACACGGCUUCCUUGUUUGCAGAAUAGAAAACGGAAUAACUGUGAAAAAUAAGCUAUAGAAAUGUAAGUCAAGUCUUGGGUAGCAGAUCUUUUCUUUAGCUGAUAAAAUAAUUGCAGUUGUGCUAAACUGGUAGAGGUAGAUAUUUUUGGCAAAGAAAGCCCCUUAUUUGAGAAAAAAAUAAGACAAUGUAGCUGUUAAAACUGAAAAGGAAAGUAACUGCAACACAAAUAGCAGGCAGAGAGCAAAGCUUUGAAGGGGUAAAGGCACAUUGUUUAAUUUUAACUUUUAAACCGGAUUAUCAUUAUUAUCAUCAUCAACAUCAUCUGUACAUCAGGCAAUUUCCUAGAAAACAAAGUAAUUCUGUUUCAAUUUACUUUAUGCUAUAUAGUUUUGGAGCAUAGAUUUGAUGUCCCAUGAGGUGAAUAAAAACAUUCUAGAAGGGCUGGGUCUGCUUAGAACUUGGAGGAGACAAGUGACAGAAAAAUACCUGGCUUACAAAAAACAUUUUCUUCCCUUUCAGUAAUUUCAGAAGUUUAUCUUUAGCCAUCAAAUGUGUC